AAACUUGAGAGUUUGAUCAUGGCUCAGAACGUACGCUGGCGGCACGCCUAACACAUGCAAGUCGAACGAAGUAGCAAUACUUAGUGGCAGACGGGUGAGUAACAUGUAGGUAUCUGCCCUUUGGCCUGGAAUAACACGAGGAAACUUGUGCUAAUACCGGAUAAGUCUUUACGGAGAAAGCUUUAUGCACCAUUGGAUGAGCCUGCACUUGAUUAGUUUGUUGGUGGGGUAAUGGCCUACCAAGACUGUGAUCAAUAGCUGAUUUGAGAGGAUGAUCAGCCACAUUGGGACUGAGACACGGCCCAAACUCCUACGGGAGGCAGCAGUGGGGAAUCUUGCACAAUGGAGGAAACUCUGAUGCAGCGAUGCCGCGUGAGUGAAGAAGGCCCUUGGGUUGUAAAGCUCUUUCGUCGGGGAAGAAAAUGACUGUACCCGAAUAAGAAGGUCCGGCUAACUUCGUGCCAGCAGCCGCGGUAAUACGAAGGGACCUAGCGUAGUUCGGAAUUACUGGGCUUAAAGAGUUCGUAGGUGGUUGAAAAAGUUAGUGGUGAAAUCCCAGAGCUUAACUCUGGAACUGCCAUUAAAACUUUUCAGCUAGAGUAUGAUAGAGGAAAGCAGAAUUUCUAGUGUAGAGGUGAAAUUCGUAGAUAUUAGAAAGAAUACCAAUUGCGAAGGCAGCUUUCUGGAUCAUUACUGACACUGAGGAACGAAAGCAUGGGUAGCGAAGAGGAUUAGAUACCCUCGUAGUCCAUGCCGUAAACGAUGUGUGUUAGACGUUGGAAAUUUAUUUUCAGUGUCGCAGGGAAACCGAUAAACACACCGCCUGGGGAGUACGACCGCAAGGUUAAAACUCAAAUGAAUUGACGGGGACCCGCACAAGUAGUGGAGCAUGUGGUUUAAUUCGAAGAUACGCGCAGAACCUUACCAACACUUGACAUGUUCGUUGCGACUCUAAGAGAUUAGAGUUUUCGGUUCGGCCGGACGAAACACAGGUGCUGCAUGGCUGUCGUCAGCUCGUGUCGUGAGAUGUUGGGUUAAGUCCCGCAACGAGCGCAACCCUCACUUUUAGUUGCCAUCAUUAAGUUGGGCACUCUGAAAGAACUGCCAGUGAUAAGCUGGAGGAAGGUGGGGAUGACGUCAAGUCCUCAUGGCCCUUACGUGUUGGGCUACACACGUGCUACAAUGGUAUCUACAACAGGAAGCAAGACUGCGAAGUUAAGCAAAUCCCUAAAAGAUACCUCAGUUCGGAUUGCACUCUGCAACUCGAGUGCAUGAAGCUGGAAUUACUAGUAAUCGUGGAUCAGCGUGCCACGGUGAAUGCGUUCCCGGGUCUUGUACACACCGCCCGUCACACCAUGGGAGUUGGUUCUACCUUAAGGCAAGGUUUCAAACCCUUGACCACGGUAUAGUCAGCGACUGGGGUGAAGUCGUAACAAGGUAGCCGUAGGGGAACCUGCGGCUGGAUUACCUCCUUU
rnacentral:rRNA from 1 species